rnacentral:rRNA from 1 species
CCUACGGGAGGCUGCAGUAAGGAAUUUUCGUCAAUGGGCGCAAGCCUGAACGAGCAACGCCGCGUGUGGGAUGACGGCCUUCGGGUUGUAAACCACUUUUGAGGGGGACGAUGAUGACGGUACCCCUGGAAUAAGCCCCGGCUAACUCUGUGCCAGCAGCCGCGGUAAGACAGAGGGGGCAAGCGUUGUCCGGAAUUACUGGGCGUACAGCGCAUGCAGGUGGCAUGGCAAGUGUGGUGUGAAAGCCCCGCGCUUAACGCGGGGAGGCCAGCACAGACUG